UUUACAAAUGAAGAAGUUCAGCCCCAAGGAGGUUAAGGAAUUUGUCCAAGGUCACAAAAGUAGGAAGUUUUGAAGACAGAAGAAAUGACUGAGGAGAUCAAAACCACAAGACUUCUAUCCCCUUGGAAGAGAUAAAAUCGCUCCUAAUUGCAUAAGGACAGGAAAGGACAGUGUAUCUUUUUGGGGUAGUAUCAGGUAAACUUGUGAGGCUUAAAGGUAAUGAACUGAUGUCCUGAAAGUAUGUCAAAGGCUAGAGGUAUGAGAGAUAACAACUUUUAUUUUAAUUAAGCCUUUAAAUUAACUCAGAGGGAGAGAAAGCUGAAUUUCUAAACUCAAUUUAAGGAUAUAGUAAUAUGUUUUUUGGCAGAUACAGUCUCAAUUAUAACAUUAAUACAUCUUAAAAUCAAUUACAAUAUAGAAUCAAUAUAGUAGAAAGUUGAGGUAAUAAUACUAUUGAUCUGAGGUUGGCCUCUGGGGACCAUUGUAAUUCUAAAUUUGUGAUCUUAUGG
rnacentral:lncRNA from 1 species